AGUGGCGGACGGGUGAGUAACACGUAGGCGACCUGCCCGGAAGUAGGGAAUAACCGGCCGAAAGGUUGGCUAAUACCGUAUGUGGUCGCCGGUUAGAGUCCGGCUGACUAAAGCCUUCGGGCGCUUUCGGAGGGGCCUGCGGCCGAUUAGCUAGUUGGUGGGGUAACGGCUCACCAAGGCGACGAUCGGUAGCUGGUUUGAGAGGACGGCCAGCCACACGGGGACUGAGACACGGCCCCGACUCCUACGGGAGGCAGCAGCGAGGAAUCUUGCGCAAUGGGCGAAAGCCUGACGCAGCAACGCCGCGUGGGGGAUGAAGGCCUUCGGGUCGUAAACCCCUUUUGCAGGGGAAGAUAAUGACGGUACCCUGCGAAUA
rnacentral:rRNA from 1 species